UUAAAGAUAGCUUGCUAUUUUUAUGAAGAGCGGCGAACGGGUGAGUAACGCGUGGGAAAUCUGCCGAGUAGCGGGGGACAACGUUUGGAAACGAACGCUAAUACCGCAUAACAAUGAGAAUCGCAUGAUUCUUAUUUAAAAGAAGCAAUUGCUUCACUACUUGAUGAUCCCGCGUUGUAUUAGCUAGUUGGUAGUGUAAAAGACUACCAAGGCGAUGAUACAUAGCCGACCCGAGAGGGUGAUCGGCCACACUGGGACUGAGACACGGCCCAGACUCC
rnacentral:rRNA from 1 species